rnacentral:lncRNA from 1 species
AGGAGAAUGAGGAUCCAACCCUUUAACUGAGAUCAAGAUCUAUUCCUGAGCAUCAAUGAGAGAAGACUGGACCAUGUGGGAACAGCUUAGAGUGAAGCCAACUCCCCAGGUGUGAGUUAGGAAUUUUCUUAUAUACAGAAACAAUUUAAAGAAACUUUGAAUGGAUGAAUCAUUUGUUUCCAAUACUGGGCUUUUUACUUUCACUUAGCUAAAUCACUUAUUAUGGUGAGGGAUUAUGUUAACUCUUUCAAUAUAAAGUGCAUCUCUUCAGUCUAAGGAGCAUUAGUUGAAGGCACUAGAAUAAUAAUACCAACAAAAGUUAUACUAAGACUAAAGAUACAAUCUCUAAGCUCUAGGACCUUUAUAUAAGUACAUGCACUCUUUAAUCUACUGGAAUAUCCUGUAAUCUGCAAAUUAAUUUAUAUGCACAUUGAUCCCCUAAAACAUGUAUGAACUAACCUAGGGAGAAGUUUACUCACUAGAUAGGUUUAUAUUACAUGAGCCAUAAAUUGUGAGUUUUCCAGCCAAUUUCUUAUUACAUUAGGACUGGUUUUCUAAACAAGCUAUUGUUGGCUAACAUUAGGAAGUAAAUUUCCCCAUCAAGACUUCUAAAGGACAUCACCAGAUUCUUUAAUUAUACCAGGGGUUUGGGAGGUAGGCAGUGAAAGAAUCUGGGAUGAAGGGAACAAGCUUACUUUUAUCUUCAUUCACUGUCAGCUUAGGAGACCAAGUGAGGAAUGCAACACUAGGAUUCUUGACCAGAUUUCUACUAAAGCAAAGACUUAAGAAUGCACAGAAUACUAACAACUAUUGGCCAUUUUAUUCUGAAAUAUUUGUCCCAGGAUUUCACUUAAUUUGCUGAAGAUAAUGAGUUUGCAGACAAAGGAACUGAUCCCAAGAAGAGUUUACUUGCCCAAGAUGUCACAGCUAUAAAAUGGAAGAACAUAAUUUAACUCCCAGAAAGUUGGACUUCCUAGAGUCUAUCACAAUGAGGAGAAAUGCACAUCUGAAUGUUUAAGUCAUCAUGGAGAAUAUUAAAGAAAUUUUUGUAUUUAGUUGCUAAUUACUAUUUACAUCUCCUUGACAUUUACAACAUAAUAAUGGCUUGAUUAUUUAAAGGGAUUGAGAAAAACAGUGCCAAACUUACUGGACACCUGCUAUGUUCUCAGCACUGUGUCAUUUCAUAUGAUCAGCAAGAAAGUUUAAAAACUUUGUUUGAUUAUCCAUUAUGCUAAAAUAAAGGCACUUCGCUCUAAUAUUCAGAUUUCUUAAAUUGUUUUAAAAUAUACCUGAAAAAGAAGAUUAUAGUAAAAUGAUGGGUAAAAUUAGAAACAAAUGAGCAAUUGAAUUGAAAGAUUACUUGCCCAUUUUCAACAUUUGUCA